rnacentral:rRNA from 1 species
UACGUAGGUGGCAAGCGUUGUCCGGAAUUAUUGGGCGUAAAGCGCGCGCAGGCGGUCCUUUAAGUCUGAUGUGAAAGCCCACGGCUCAACCGUGGAGGGUCAUUGGAAACUGGGGACUUGAGUGCAGGAGAGAAGAGUGGAAUUCCACGUGUAGCGGUGAAAUGCGUAGAGAUGUGGAGGAACACCAGUGGCGAAGGCGGGUCUCUGGACAGUUCCUGACACUGAGACACGAAGGCCAGGGGAGCAAACGGG